CCUAGCCGACGUUUAUGUCCUUGGACAAGAGGGUGUAGAAAAGGCGCUGGAAAGUAGUGGACCUUCUGUAGGAGGUUUGAAUUUUGUAGUUACUGAGGUUGUUCCACUUCCAAAGAUAACACCCAAGACUGGCUACAUUCACCCACAUAACUUUACUAUCAUGGCUAGGAAGCAGAUAGAAAAUCAGAAGAAGACUGAGACUACGGCGGGAAAUCAGCAGAA